rnacentral:rRNA from 1 species
AUUGAACGCUGGCGGCAUGCUUUACACAUGCAAGUCGAACGGCAGCACAGGGAGCUUGCUCCUGGGUGGCGAGUGGCGAACGGGUGAGUAAUGUAUCGGAACGUUCCUGGUAGUGGGGGGUAACUACUCGAAAGCGUUGCUAAUACCGCAUGAGAUCUUUGGAUGACAUCGGGUUACCUUCGGGCCUCGUGCUACUGGAGCGGCCGAUAUCAGAUUAGGUUGUUGGUGGGGUAAAGGCCUACCAAGCCUGCGAUCUGUAGCUGGUCUGAGAGGACGACCAGCAACACUGGGACUGAGACACGGCCAAGACUCCUACGGGAGGAGGCAGUGGGGAAUUUUGGACAAUGGGCGCAAGCCUGCUCCAGCAAUGCCGCGUGCAGGACGAAGGCCUUCGGGUUGUAAACUGCUUUUGUACAGAACGAAAAGUCUCUGGCUAAUAUCUAGAGAUCAUGACGGUACUGUAAGAAUAAGCACCGGCUAACUACGUG